rnacentral:rRNA from 1 species
ACUCCUACGGGAGGCAGCAGUGGGGAAUAUUGGACAAUGGGCGAAAGCCUGAUCCAGCCAUGCCGCGUGUGUGAAGAAGGUCUUCGGAUUGUAAAGCACUUUAAGUUGGGAGGAAGGGCAGUAAGCUAAUACCUUGCUAUUUUGACGUUACCGACAGAAUAAGCACCGGCUAACUUCGUGCCAGCAGCCGCGGUAAU